UACGUAGGGAGCAAGCGUUGUUCGGAUUUACUGGGCGUAAAGGGCGCGCAGGCGGCUGCUCAAGUCAGGCGUGAAAGGCCUGGGCUCAACCCGGGAAUUGCGCUUGAGACUGGGCUGGCUUGAGUGCGGGAGAGGAUGGUGGAAUGCUCGGUGUAGAGGUGAAAUUCGUAGAUAUCGUUUGGAACGCCGACGGUGAAAACAGAUGACUGGGGACCUGCUGACGCUGAGACACGAAAGCCAGGGGAGCAAACGGG
rnacentral:rRNA from 1 species